rnacentral:rRNA from 1 species
CCUUUGACGUUAGCGGCGGACGGGUGAAGUAACACGUGGAUAACCUACCUAUAAGACUUGGGAUAACUUCGGGAACCGGAGCUAAUACCGGAUAACAUAUUGAACCGCAUGGUUCAAUAGUGAAAGGCGGCUUUGCUGUCACUUAUAGAUGGAUCCGCGCCGUAUUAGCUAGUUGGUAAGGUAACGGCUUACCAAGGCAACGAUACGUAGCCGACCUGAGAGGGUGAUCGGCCACACUGGAACUGAGACACGGUCCAGACUCCUACGGGAGGCAGCAGUAGGGAAUCUUCCGCAAUGGGCGAAAGCCUGACGGAGCAACGCCGCGUGAGUGAUGAAGGUCUUCGGAUCGUAAAACUCUGUUAUCAGGGAAGAACAAAUGUGUAAGUAACUGUGCACAUCUUGACGGUACCUGAUCAGAAAGCCACGGCUAACUACGUGCCAGCAGCCGCGG